GCGCAAGGAUGACACGC
rnacentral:snRNA from 1 species